AAAAAUUAACUAAAGACCAUGGAGAAAACAAGAGAAACUUAAAUUAAAGACAGUUUCCAUGAAUUCUCGAAAUUGAACGCUUUGAGUAAUGGAGCGUAUAAUUAAAUUAAAUAUUGUUCCUUCGAUGUUUGGCAUUCGUUAUACCAAAUUAUUUGACAAAAUAAGAACUCGUACGCCGGUGUAUGUUUUUUUUUUAAACUGAUUUUACGUCGUGUAUUCAGUCUUAGUUUUCUAUAGAGAACGAGUCGAGCAGGAAAUAAUUUAUUAGUUAAUGACGCAUUUUAUGUUAUCUUUGUCAUAUGGAUAGGAUACACAUUGUCUCACAUUCACUUUACAUCAGUAGAGUUAGUGUCAUAGGAAGAAGAAGCACAGGUAGAGGAACCAAGAGGAGGAUAAGAGAUGGCUAAGUAGAUAAGCAUAAGCAUCAGCACCACCGGAAUUCCCAUCAGAAACAUUGGCGGCGGUGGAAGCGGCGGAAGAACGGCCGGAAGCACCACCAAAAUCACUAUCACCACUGCGAGCAUAAACAUUGCGAUGAUCCUUCUUGUACAAAAACGUGAAACUUCUCUAGUUCUUUCAAAGGCUUUCAAGUUUUCUUCAAUGUUCCUGCACAUAGAUGUGUGUGUGUAUAUAU
rnacentral:lncRNA from 1 species